AAAUAUACGGUAAUUCCUGCCCAGUGAUAUUAUUCAACGGCCGCGGUAUCCUAACCGUGCAAAGGUAGCAUAAUCAUUUGCCCAUUAAUUGUGGGCUAGAAUGAACGGAAAAACGAAAUAAGAACUGUCUCAACUAGUUAGAUAAAAAUUAUUUUCUAUACGAAGAAAAAUAGAUGUAUUCGAAGGACAAGAAGACCCUAUAGAGCUUUAUUUUAAGUGUGGGGAUAACCAUACAAAAAUUCGGUUGGGGCGACCAAGGGACUAUAGACCACCCUUAAGCACAAAGAUAAAUUAAUCGAUAAAAUGACCCUAUAAAGAUCAUAAAACCAAGCUACCUUAGGGAUAACAGGCUAAUCCCACUUAAGAGUUCAUAUCAACAGUGGGGAUUGGCACCUCGAUGUUGGCUUAGGGUAUCAAUAUGGCGCAAAAGCUAUAUAAAGAUGGUUUGUUCAACCAAUAACGC
rnacentral:rRNA from 1 species